UACAGAGGGUGCAAGCGUUAAUCGGAAUUACUGGGCGUAAAGCGUGCGUAGACGGUUAUGUAAGUCAGAUGUGAAAGCCCCGGGCUCAACCUGGGAAUUGCAUUUGAGACUGCAUAGCUAGGGUGCGGAAGAGGGAAGCGGAAUUUCCGGUGUAGCGGUGAAAUGCGUAGAUAUCGGGAGGAACACCUGUGGCGAAGGCGGCCACCUGGUUGGAUACUGACGCUGAGACGCGAAAGCGUGGGGAGCAAACAGG
rnacentral:rRNA from 1 species